rnacentral:rRNA from 1 species
GGCUUAUUGAAAAUAAUUUUAAGUCUGGCCUGCCCAAUGAUUUAUUAAUGGCCGCGGUAUUUUGACCGUGCAAAGGUAGCAUAAUCACUAGUUUUUUAAAUGGAAGCUUGAAUGAAAGGUUGGAUGAGAAGAAGGCUGUCUCUAUGAGAAUUGGUUAGAAUUUUAUUUUUAAGUAAAAAAGCUUAAAUAGAUGUAGAAGACGAGAAGACCCUAUAGAGUUUUAUAUUAAAUUUGAUUAAUAAAGUUAGGGUGUAAAUUUGUUACUUGAAUGAGGUAUUUUUUUGGGGCGAUAGAAAAAUUUAAUAAACUUUUUUUAAAGAUUUGAACAUUUAUUUGUGGACUUGUGAUCCUGAAUUUUGGAUUGUAAGAAUAAAUUACCUUAGGGAUAACAGCGUAAUUUUUUUUAGAGUUCUUAUCGAAAAAAAAGUUUGCGACCUCGAUGUUGGAUUAAAAUAUAUAUUUGGUGAAGGAGCUAAAUGGUUAGGUCUGUUCGACCUUUAAAAUUUUACAUGAUCUGAGUUUAAACCGGUGUGAG